AGCGACAAAGCUCUGAACUAGAGCUGUGGGGCUGGAGGAAAAGAGAAGGGAUUGAGCAACAUAGAAAGUGACUGAGGAGAGAGAAGGAAGUGUCAAGAAUGAGCAGCGCUUUGAAUGACGCAUUAAGUAUUGGGGAUUGAGCUCAGGACCUCACACAUGUUAGCAGGGUCACCAAUGGAGGAAGGAGCUGCUCCCACGAUAUCAUUUUCCACCUUGAGAAUCUUGGCUGCAGCAGUGGCUGGUUGUCAUCAUGGAGACACAGAUGAAGAGAGAUUCCACAGCCAACUUCAUCCAGAAAACACUGGGAAGAUUAUGUUGUGUAUUUAAAAAAAUAAAAUAAAAUAAAAAAGCCUGGAAAGAUGCUCUACUCUUGGUGCCCAGAAGCCUGGCAUACAGGUUUUAUCAAAAUGGUGGAGAAACAUAAGCUCCUGACACACAAUGCUUUCCAGGAAAAUGCUUCGUUUUUUGGAAAAUCCAAUCAGAUAAAUCAAAUUCAUCACAUAUAAAAUGGGCAUAAUGAGUGUGUACAACUCAUAAGGGUAUGUUGUAUUGUUAAUUCAGAAAUGAUAGAAAAAAUGACCAUAGCACGGACUUGGGCACAUAGUCAGUGCUCAAUAUGAUACAACCGUUGUAUUGCUCAGAGUUGUCCAGAGAUGUAGAAUUAAUAAGAGGUAAGAGAAUUCUUACCUCUGGUAAGGUCUAGUUGUACACACUCAACCCAGUCAACCUGCUGGACUAACCUGCCCAAUCAAUUGGUAAUUAUUACUAAUCAGUUGUUUGAACUGACAACACGUGUGACCAGUGUGCCAUUGAAGUCAGAUAAGCACUAAGGAAGGCAAUAAGGCAAUAAGGAAGGAUUUAUCCUGCAAAGUCUUAUUUCUUAAAUGUAUCUCAAAGUAUGGAGAAUAACUAUGUCUUUAAAUUGCUUUUCUGGUGUAGUUUUAUUAGUGAAAG